UACGUAGGGUGCAAGCGUUAAUCGGAAUUACUGGGCGUAAAGCGUGCGCAGGCGGUUCGGAAAGAAAGAUGUGAAAUCCCAGAGCUUAACUUUGGAACUGCAUUUUUAACUACCGAGCUAGAGUGUGUCAGAGGGAGGUGGAAUUCCGCGUGUAGCAGUGAAAUGCGUAGAUAUGCGGAGGAACACCGAUGGCGAAGGCAGCCUCCUGGGAUAACACUGACGCUCUGCACGAAAGCGUGGGGAGCAAACAGG
rnacentral:rRNA from 1 species